rnacentral:rRNA from 1 species
CCUACGUGUGGCUGCAGUAGGGAAUAUUGCUCAAUGGGGGAAACCCUGCAGCAGCAACGCCGCGUGGAGGAUGAAGGUUUUCGGAUUGUAAACUCCUUUUGUUAGAGAAGAUAAUGACGGUAUCUAACGAAUAAGCACCGGCUAACUCCGUGCCAGCAGCCGCGGUAAUACGGAGGGUGCAAGAGUUACUCGGAUUCACUGGGCGUAAAGAGCGCGUAGGCGGGAUAGCAAGUCAGAUGUGAAAUCCUAGGGCUUAACCAUAGAACUGCAUUUGAAACUGUGAUUCUAGAGGAUGGGAGAGGUAAGUGGAAUUCUUGGUGUAGGGGUAAAAUGCGUAGAGAUCAAGAGGAAUACGCAUUGCGAAGGCGACCUGCUAGAACAUAACUGACGCUGAUGCGCGAAAGCGUGGGGAGCAAACAGGAUUAGAUACCCUUGUAGUC